UCCAGCAAGGAUGUUACAUAACUGGGAUAAAUGAGGUCAUGUUAGGGCCAAAAUCUCUGUAUGCAUUUAUACCUCAAUCUACUUAACUGAUGGAAUAUCUGUGUUCCUUAAGUGUAUUUGCAUAAAGAGACUAUCUCACCAUCAUCUGUCUAAUGGUGUGAUACUGAUACAUACUGUGAUGAGGUGAUUUACUUUGUAUGUAGCAGUGAAGAGGUUAUAACACAGGAAAAA
rnacentral:lncRNA from 1 species